rnacentral:lncRNA from 1 species
CAGGAAUAGUCGCACACAUAAGUAGACAAAUCUCAAAUGUACCAUUGCAGUGUUUAUUACAUAGCGGAACAUAAUAAAUCACAUAGUCUUAUACAUAAAUGACAGCAUAAAGUAAACAAUGCUCUCGACGGAAGCUCCACACAGGGACACUGUUGACUGGUUGACUCCAAACCUAGUACUCAUAACGGUAGUCCUCAUUCCAGUCAUCUUCAUUAUCAUAUCCUGAGGUGUUGGUAAAUUGUAAGAGUGAGCACAUAUCGUACUCAACAAGUAUAAUCAGGGAUUCAUGAGGCUCAAAUAGCUGACACUGGUUUGACUGCGUUUAGCUUUUAAUAGUGGAUAGCAUGUUCAAAUUUAAUGAGCAAUUGUCAAGGUAGCAUUAAUAAUCCAUUAAUCACAUGAUCAAGUGUAAGCAUAAUUAAUUCGUAGCAUAAACGAUAAUCAAAUGAACAUAAUAACAUAACAAGCUCAUCAUCUUAAUGUAGAUGUCCCCAAGGCCGCUCCUAACCGUGAGCUCGGCUAGCAUACCAGUUUUUCACUCUGUAGAGGUUGUACAUCUUUACCCAUGAGUCAUGAUUUACCCUUUCGCCCGAGGCCCGUCGACCUCUUAACCCACUACCAAGGAAGGUCGGCAGGGAUCACUAUGAAGCCUUUCAAAAGUUCGUCUAACAUGUUAGGGCCGCAAGGUUUCCUUCGCGAGCAUAUAUAGAUACCCCCUUCCGAAUGGCACAAUGACGCGCAGCCUAUACACAUAGGGACAGGGGCUCGCACUAUACCCGUGUCGGUUCAGCCCCUCUAGCGCCCUUUUGGGUAACCUCUAACAAGCUAGAAAAGGUCUCCAUACUGAGCUAAAGCCAGAGCCUUAUAGCCCUCAUGGUUGCACUGUUAUCCCGGGUGAUCACGUACAGACAAGAUGUCAUAAAUUUAUUUGUCAUUCUUUUAUGUUCAUUGCAUAACGAUUAAUCAUCUUACAAGAUCAUGGAGUAUAUCAAGCACUAGCACAUCUACACCAAAUGCAUAUCAAGUAGGUAACAAGGAAUCCAGGUAACAAUCAUCUAUGAUUUUGCUAAGGUCGACAAGGUGAUAGCAUGCAUAUGAUAUAUAUGUUAGUUAUAAGUGAAUAGGUAACAAGGAUGAUCCCAAGUUAUACUUGCCUUGAUCAAAGCUCCCCUGAGCCUGCUGUUGGUCUUCAAAAGAUUAACCUUGAUCACCAACAUAUCGCUCACCGUCUAUACCCAAUCAUGAAUCAACAACACGCAUUCCAAUGGACAAUCAUACACAAAGCAAACAAACUAUAAUUAGAACAUUACACAAACAGUGAGAAAUCAAAGAUAAAAGUUUAUAAAAAUAUUCUACGCAGCGCUACGAUCACACAAACGUAAAGUUCACGGAAAUCAGAAUUAAAACGUAGAAGUUAUGAAUUUAAUAUACAAAACAAAAUAGAAUACAAACGAAUAAACAUCAAGGAUUAAAGCCGUAGAAAAUAUAAAAAAAUAGAUACCUACUGUACUCGUCAAAUGAGUCUGUUGUCCUUUGGCCACUCACGUACAAAAGUGGAUGAUUUGCUUGUACGACUCACCAACAGAGCUAGCUGAUAUCAGUUUGAUUUUUUUUGUGAUGAUGGUCACCAGGACAGCAAGCACGACUGGCAUCAAACGUCUGACCCUGGUCUUUGUUUGUUUUCAGAAUUGCAGGCAACUGACGAACUUGCUUGUGUACAGUACAGAAGAUAGCACCAGCA